ACCGCCAGGUGCAAAAGGCAGGGUAGCCAAGUCCGGAAGGGAUAAACGCUGAAGGCAUCUAAGCGUGAAGCCCCCCUCAAGAUGAGACAUCACAAGACCCCUUGAAGAGUACAAGGUAGAUAGGCGUGAGGUGUAAGUGCGGCAACGCAUUCAGCUGACACGUACUAAUAGGUCGGAAGCUUAUCCUU
rnacentral:rRNA from 1 species